rnacentral:rRNA from 1 species
GGCGGGGUUAUAGCACACUCUAAGCGUAGUAGUUUAACUCGCUUUCAGGGAGGCUGUAGCUGCUUGCCGUAAAACCCCCUAUAACUUAUAGUGGU